UGCGUAGGUGGUAUGGCAAGUCAGAAGUGAAAACCCAGGGCUUAACUCUGGGACUGCUUUUGAAACUGUCAGACUGGAGUGCAGGAGAGGUAAGCGGAAUUCCUAGUGUAGCGGUGAAAUGCGUAGAUAUUAGGAGGAACAUCAGUGGCGAAGGCGGCUUACUGGACUGAAACUGACACUGAGGCACGAGAGCUGGGGAGCAAACA
rnacentral:rRNA from 1 species